rnacentral:rRNA from 1 species
GAUGAACGCUGGCGGCGUGCUUAACACAUGCAAGUCGAACGAGAAAUAAUAUUCGGAACUCUUCGGAGAACCCUUUUAUUUCGAGUGGCGGACGGGUGAGUAACGCGUGAGCAACCUGCCCUGUACCGGGGGAUACCAGUUGGAAACGACUGUUAAUACCGCAUAAGCGCACGAUAAGACAUCUUGUUGUGUGAAAAACUCCGGUGGUAUAGGAUGGGCUCGCGUAUGAUUAGCCAGUUGGCGGGGUAAAGGCCCACCAAAGCGACGAUCAUUAGCCGACCUGAGAGGGCGACCGGCCACAUUGGGACUGAGACACGGCCCAAACUCCUACGGGAGGCAGCAGUGGGGAAUAUUGCACAAUGGGCGAAAGCCUGAUGCAGCGACGCCGCGUGAGUGAGGAAGUAUUUCGGUAUGUAAAGCUCUAUCAGCAGGGAAGAAAGAAAUGACGGUACCUGAGUAAGAAG